rnacentral:rRNA from 1 species
GACGUAGGGCGCGAGCGUUGUCCGGAUUUAUUGGGCGUAAAGAGCUCGUAGGCGGCUUGUCGCGUCGUUCGUGAAAACCUGGGGCUCAACCCCAGGCUUGCGGGCGAUACGGGCAGGCUAGAGUUCGGUAGGGGAGACUGGAAUUCCUGGUGUAGCGGUGAAAUGCGCAGAUAUCAGGAGGAACACCGGUGGCGAAGGCGGAUCUCUGGGCCAUUACUGACGCUGAGGAGCGAAAGCGUGGGGAGCGAACAGG